rnacentral:rRNA from 1 species
GGAAUCAACGCUGGCGGCGUGCCUAACACAUGCAAGUCGAACGAGAAAGUGGAGCAAUCCAUGAGUAAAGUGGCGCACGGGUGAGUAACACGUGACUAACCUACCCUGGAGUGGGGGAUAACUGAGGGAAACCUUAGCUAAUACCGCAUAACACCUACGGGUCAAAGGAGCAAUUCGCUUUAGGAGGGGUCGCGGCAGAUUAGUUAGUUGGCGGGGUAAUGGCCCACCAAGACGGUGAUCUGUA